AACCUAGCACACCUGCGGUGUGUACCUGCGGAGGGAUCAUUAAUAAAUGUUACUUCGGUAACUUAAUUAAUCCCUAACACCUGUGCAUCUUGUCGCUUCGGCGUCAUUUUAUAAACAUCAGUGUAAUGAAUGUAACGUAUUAUAACAAAUACAACUUUCAACAACGGAUCU
rnacentral:misc_RNA from 1 species